GAGUCAUCUGGAUGAUGUGCCUCUGGAUGUGCCAAUAAGGGAUUAUCAUGAUUGCUCAUCAAGGAAGCUGACACCAUCUGCCCCCUGUGGGCACACCAUUCCUUAGGCAGGAGACUGUGGAUUAGCCGAGAAAAUACGCUGAUCGUUAGAUCUUCUCAUUUGUUUCUCUCUUCCCCUGACUGUGGAUGCAAAGCAGAUCAGCUGCUUCAAGCACCUGCUGCCACAAUGGACUGCAACCUAAAACUAAUGAAGAAUGGAACUGCUACUCUGGACCCAAUUUUGAUCAAGUAGGAGGAACAAUGGUGGACUCAGGAAAGACACCGGAUAGAUGAAGACAAGGCUGCGGAUCAGUGCUUGGAAAGAUGCUGCUGAAGUGGCUAAGGAGGCUGCUGGAGUCGAGUCUGAGAGCUCAGCAGCACAAGAUGCCAGAUGAAAGGCCAAAUGGGGUCAGGAGCAAAAAGCAGUCCAGGAGCAGCAAUGAGGAGCAGGUCCAGAUCCAGAUGAAUGCACAGCUGAAACUGUGACUUGUUCUGAAAGAUAAGGUUAAGAUUAACACCAUGAAGGGGAGACCUGCUACUGUGCAUCAGAGUAGAAGGAAGGAUCCUCCUCAGGAAAAGACCCAGCCCAGUUCCCAUCUAUCACUGAGGGAAAAGCUGCUAUUACUGUUGUUUAAGUGGCUCAGAGCCUGUUCAAGGGGUGACAAUAAAGAGAUUGCCUUGAAUCUCAGAAGAGGCUUUAAAAUUUUAAGCAGUUUUGAGAUUGUGAAAGACUACAGGGACUGCCAAUUACUCAUUUGAACAAGUGCAAUUCUCUUUGAUUAUCCCAGAGCAGCCAGAUGGAAUAGCCUGUUUCCCCAUAUUUCUGAUUUCUUUCUGUUUCAUUUGGAUGAUACCCUACAGCAGAGGAAGUAGAAUGUGAGCUGUCAACCAGAAGUGUGCAAGAUGACUCAUGGCUGUUCCUCAAUCAAGUUCCUCUGUUUGUCAUAUUUGGAGAAAUACUGCCAGCCUGAGUUGAAUUCAUUUGCACAGCAGAUCAUGUGUCUUAUAACCUUUGGUGACAUAUGACCAACCCAACAAUAUACCACAAGGACCAUUUGACUGUCCCCUCUGGCUUCUGCAUCUUGCUUCCAGCAUGAACAGACAGAAGUUUCUCAGGACCCAGCAAUAUCAGGAGAAGGCUAGUGUCCUUCCACAUCUGUCACUGUCUUCCUUCUAUAUCUGAGAAACCUGUGAUGACGUCCACCCAUUUGAAAUAGUGUCCUCUCAAGACUUAGCCAAGCCACAUGCUUGCUCACGGAUGACCAAAAAGAUGGGAAGUAGAUUUGCCGAAAGGCUCCAAGGUCUCCUUGCUAAUUGAAAUGUCAUAAUCAGGAUGUGGAGUUGAGAAAAUUAAGAAGGUAUUGGCUUACAAUUUCUGUUAUAAGAACAGCAGCAGCAGCAGCAGCAGCAGCAGCAGCAGCAGCAGCAGCAGCAGCAGCAUGUGCUAAGA